rnacentral:rRNA from 1 species
GUGACUGCGUACCUUUUGUAUAAUGGGUCAGCGACUUAUAUUCUGUAGCAAGGUUAACCGUAUAGGGGAGCCGCAGGGAAACCGAGUCUUAACUGGGCGUUAAGUUGCAGGGUAUAGACCCGAAACCCGGUGAUCUAGCCAUGGGCAGGUUGAAGGUUGGGUAACACUAACUGGAGGACCGAACCGACUAAUGUUGAAAAAUUAGCGGAUGACUUGUGGCUGGGGGUGAAAGGCCAAUCAAACCGGGAGAUAGCUGGUUCUCCCCGAAAGCUAUUUAGGUAGCGCCUCGUGAACUCAUCUUCGGGGGUAGAGCACUGUUUCGGCUAGGGGGUCAUCCCGACUUACCAACCCGAUGCAAACUACGAAUACCGAAGAAUGUUAUCACGGGAGACACACGGCGGGUGCUAACGUCCGUCGUGAAGAGGGAAACAACCCAGACCGCCAGCUAAGGUCCCAAAGUCAUGGUUAAGUGGGAAACGAUGUGGGAAGGCACAGACAGCCAGGAUGUUGGCUUAGAAGCAGCCAUCAUUUAAAGAAAGCGUAAUAGCUCACUGGUCGAGUCGGCCUGCGCGGAAGAUGUAACGGGGCUAAACCAUGCACCGAAGCUGCGGCAGCGACACUAUGUGUUGUUGGGUAGGGGAGCGUUCUGUAAGCCUGCGAAGGUGUGCUGUGAGGCAUGCUGGAGGUAUCAGAAGUGCGAAUGCUGACAUAAGUAACGAUAAAGCGGGUGAAAAGCCCGCUCGCCGGAAGACCAAGGGUUCCUGUCCAACGUUAAUCGGGGCAGGGUGAGUCGACCCCUAAGGCGAGGCCGAAAGGCGUAGUCGAUGGGAAACAGGUUAAUAUUCCUGUACUUGGUGUUACUGCGAAGGGGGGACGGAGAAGGCUAUGUUAGCCGGGCGACGGUUGUCCCGGUUUAAGCAUGUAGGCUGGUUGUCCAGGCAAAUCCGGAUAAUCAAGGCUGAGGUGUGAUGACGAGGCACUACGGUGCUGAAGUAACAAAUGCCCUGCUUCCAGGAAAAGCCUCUAAGCAUCAGGUAACAUCAAAUCGUACCCCAAACCGACACAGGUGGUCAGGUAGAGAAUACCAAGGCGCUUGAGAGAACUCGGGUGAAGGAACUAGGCAAAAUGGUGCCGUAACUUCGGGAGAAGGCACGCUGGUGUGUAGGUGAAGUCCCUGCGGAUGGAGCUGAGACCAGUCGAAGAUACCAGCUGGCUGCAACUGUUUAUUAAAAACACAGCACUGUGCAAACACGAAAGUGGACGUAUACGGUGUGACGCCUGCCCGGUGCCGGAAGGUUAAUUGAUGGGGUUAUCCGUAAGGAGAAGCUCUUGAUCGAAGCCCCGGUAAACGGCGGCCGUAACUAUAACGGUCCUAAGGUAGCGAAAUUCCUUGUCGGGUAAGUUCCGACCUGCACGAAUGGCGUAAUGAUGGCCAGGCUGUCUCCACCCGAGACUCAGUGAAAUUGAACUCGCUGUGAAGAUGCAGUGUACCCGCGGCAAGACGGAAAGACCCCGUGAACCUUUACUAUAGCUUGACACUGAACAUUGAGCCUUGAUGUGUAGGAUAGGUGGGAGGCUUUGAAGCGUGGACGCCAGUCUGCGUGGAGCCAACCUUGAAAUACCACCCUUUAAUGUUUGAUGUUCUAACGUUGGCCCCUGACCGGGGUUGCGGACAGUGUCUGGUGGGUAGUUUGACUGGGGCGGUCUCCUCCCAAAGCGUAACGGAGGAGCACGAAGGUUAGCUAAUCCUGGUCGGACAUCAGGAGGUUAGUGCAAUGGCAUAAGCUAGCUUGACUGCGAGCGUGACGGCGCGAGCAGGUGCGAAAGCAGGUCAUAGUGAUCCGGUGGUUCUGAAUGGAAGGGCCAUCGCUCAACGGAUAAAAGGUACUCCGGGGAUAACAGGCUGAUACCGCCCAAGAGUUCAUAUCGACGGCGGUGUUUGGCACCUCGAUGUCGGCUCAUCACAUCCUGGGGCUGAAGUAGGUCCCAAGGGUAUGGCUGUUCGCCAUUUAAAGUGGUACGCGAGCUGGGUUUAGAACGUCGUGAGACAGUUCGGUCCCUAUCUGCCGUGGGCGCUGGAGAAUUGAGGGGGGCUGCUCCUAGUACGAGAGGACCGGAGUGGACGCAUCACUGGUGUUCGGGUUGUCAUGCCAAUGGCACUGCCCGGUAGCUAAAUGCGGAAGAGAUAAGUGCUGAAAGCAUCUAAGCACGAAACUUGCCCCGAGAUGAGUUCUCCCUGAGACUUUAAGUCUCCUGAAGGAACGUUGAAGACGACGACGUUGAUAGGCCGGGUGUGUAAGCGCAGCGAUGCGUUGAGCUAACCGGUACUAAUGAACCGUGAGGCUUAACCUU